GGUUGCUUCGGUUUAUUCCAUUUGGUCUCUCUGCUGCUUCUGUGAACGUAGGGUGAACAGUUGAGAAAGGAGACUGAUCGUUUCGGUUCACCCGAGGGAAGCUGCUAGGCCUUGCUGAUGGUCCUUUGGGGAGUUUGUAUGAAACUUCUGUCCAGCUGCAAAAUCCUUGCCAAACUUAAUCAACCUGACCAAGAAAUAUUUGAAGGAGAAUGAUGUUGCCCUUACCAACAAAAUUUAAAGAGAGGUUGACUGGAAAGCGGGGAUCACAAUAUAGAAAAUCUGGUAACUCGGAGCUCCCCUUACUCCUGGUAUAAUUGAGGGAUGGCGUAGUCAAACAUAUAGCCCUAUAGGCUGGGUGCAACAUUAGUAGAUCUGUGAGGUGCCUGCAUAUUCUAGGUAACAUUGUUGCACAAUGCUGAAGUUGACUUCUUAUUCGCAUACAGCAAACGUAACACAAAUUGAAUAACUGGUGUAUUUGGGGGGGUUUAAUCAAUUUGGGGACACAUUUCAAAGUCGAUUCUCACAGAGGGGGAACCCCUCUACAUACUCUGUAUGCAUUUAUCCCGGCCCACAUCAGAUUGUGAUACAAAAACACGAGACAAACAUGGCUCAACAAGUUGGCAUGUUAUCCAAUAACGCAAAUUGAAAAAGUAACUGGUGUUUCAGGGGUUACAUUGCUUUGGGCCACUUAUUUCAAAGUUGUUUCUCACAGAGAGAGAACCCCUCUACGUCCCUUAUGUGUAUUUAUCCCAACCUAAACAGAUAUUGAUACAAAAACAGCAGGCAAACAAGAUAGCGCAUUCCAACUUAUUUGCAUACAGCAAAUGUAACACAAAUUGAAUAAGUAACUGGGGUAUUUCAAGGGUAAAAUCGUUUUGGGCCACUUAUUUCAAAGUUGAUUCUCACAGGGGGGGAACCCCUCUAGGUCACCCAUGGGUAUUUAUCCUGGACCAAAACCAGAUUUUGCAACAAAAUCAGCAUCCAAACAUGGCACAUGUAGGUGUAAUUUACACGGGGGACUUACCCCCUCACUUUCAUUAUUGCAGAUAGAAUAAUCUUUAUG